AACCUGCCCAAGAGAUCGGGAUAACACCUGGAAACAGAUGCUAAUACCGGAUAACAANAGAUGAUGCCUAUCAACUGUUUAAAGGAUGGUUCUGCUAUCACUCUUGGAUGGACCUGCGGUGCAUUAGCUAGUUGGUAGGGUAACGGCCUACCAAGGCGAUGAUGCAUAGCCGAGUUGAGAGACUGAUCGGCCACAUUGGGACUGAGACACGGCCCAAACUCCUACGGGAGGCAGCAGGU
rnacentral:rRNA from 1 species